rnacentral:lncRNA from 1 species
GUUUCUUCUGGGGGACAAUGCCCAAGCCUGUUCGGAGUCCUGCAAAGAUGCAGAAACCUUGGCAUUUUACAGACCGAAAUGCAUAUUCUACUUCUGGGGAAGAUUGUAUCUGCAAAGUUGGAAAAGGAAAACAAACUCUUCAAUUCCUCCGUUGUAUAAACAAGUUGAUCACAUUUUAAUUGGAAGCCUGGAAUGUAUGGAGUGCAAAGGAAGUGAAUUGCACCAAGUCCUUGCGCUCCAGAAUCUCCCAGGGAAGGAGGCGAGGCAGAUUUUGUUUUGUUUCGGGUGUUUUUAUUCAACCACCUCCAAGGAUUCAUGCUUCUUCGUUGAGCUCCCCAGGAAGGGAAUUCUCUUUACCAAUGCAGGCUUAAGGCAAGCAGAAGACCAGAGCCUCAGAAGAUAGAGGACAAACCAAGUUUGAGAAUCCAAGUAAACAGUCCAAAAGGAUAUCUUUUUAGGGCCUCGGAAGCCCUGGGAUCAAUGGAAAGCAUUGCCUUAGGCAACACCUUAAUAAAGGAAGAAGUUGUAAAUACCCA